AGAACGAACGCUGGCGGCAUGCCUAAUACAUGCAAGUCGAACGAACUCUUCGGAGUUAGUGGCGCACGGGUGCGUAACGCGUGGGAAUCUGCCCCUUGGUUCGGAAUAACAGUUGGAAACGACUGCUAAUACCGGAUGAUGACGAAAGUCCAAAGAUUUAUCGCCAAGGGAUGAGCCCGCGUAGGAUUAGCUAGUUGGUGAGGUAAAGGCUCA
rnacentral:rRNA from 1 species